CAGAUGUAUUAUACAAAAUUCUUUUUUCAUAAAUUUUUUCAUUGAUUUUCACAGCAACCCUGUGAGAAAGCAGUUCUUAUUUUGUAUAUGAGGAAACUUGGACUCAAAGAGCAUAAAGGAUUUUGCCAAUGUCACAAGUGAGGAAGGAGUACAGGUUAUAUUUGAACCCUGAUCUUCUGAUGACAAAUCUAGAAUUCAAUCCACUCGACCAGGCUGCCUUAUUUGUGUAUGUCUUAUAGUUUACCUGCUGUUACUCCCUCCAAGCUUGACCUGGUGAACAAGAAGCAUUUCUUUGUCAGAUGAAGGCAAAAUGUUAUUGUUGGAUCCUUCCUUAAGCAGAAACCUUGCAACUGACCCAUGAGUUUGUGUUCCUUACAACUUCCCCCCACAGGGGGCUGCCUGGAAUUCCUAGUGAUUGUGUUCAAGAAAGUCAUAAAGACAAAUAAUGUUGGAAUUAAAAACAACAAAAAUACACUGGGGAGCCUAUAGGAGCAACUAUAGACUCCUAGACAGCAUGGUGCUCAAUGCAGCAAAAGGAUUUUCCCACCAAUGCAAGCCUAUUAGUGACAGAUGCUUCCAGCCAGGCAGGUGGCCCUGGUCUGGUUAUCCAUGGCUUCUCCUAGUCAUCAGAUUCCUAGAAAAAUUGGUUUGAUCUCUUUCUUCCCCAAGGAGGAAUAUU
rnacentral:lncRNA from 1 species